rnacentral:rRNA from 1 species
UACAGAGGUCUCAAGCGUUGUUCGGAUUCAUUGGGCGUAAAGGGCGCGUAGGCUGCGGGGCAAGUCGGGUGUGAAAUCUCAGAGCUCAACUCUGAAACUGCACUCGAUACUGCUUUGCUCGAGGACUGGAGAGGAGAUUGGAAUUCACGGUGUAGCAGUGAAAUGCGUAGAUAUCGUAAGGAAGACCAGUGGCGAAGGCGGGUCUCUGGACAGUUCCUGACACUGAGGCACGAAGGCCAGGGGAGCAAACGGG